AUUAGGUUAAGGGGUUUGUUGUCUGGCUCGAGGCAUCCGGGACUCCGGUUUCUCCUUUCCUACUGGAGGCGCCUAAUUUCCGGCGAGCUCGGAGCCUCGGACCAGGCUUCAAUCCCUUUAACCAUGC
rnacentral:pre_miRNA from 2 species